rnacentral:tRNA from 1 species
AUUGAAUUAGCAUAAUAUAAUGUAUUCGCUUUAAGCGCGGAAGAUUUUAAUUCAAUU